rnacentral:rRNA from 1 species
GACGAACGCUGGCGGCGUGCUUAACACAUGCAAGUCGAACGAAGAGCGAUGGAAGCUUGCUUCUAUCAAUCUUAGUGGCGAACGGGUGAGUAACGCGUAAUCAACCUGCCCUUCAGAGGGGGACAACAGUUGGAAACGACUGCUAAUACCGCAUACGAUCUAAUCUCGGCAUCGAGGAUAGAUGAAAGGUGGCCUCUACAUGUAAGCUAUCACUGAAGGAGGGGAUUGCGUCUGAUUAGCUAGUUGGAGGGGUAACGGCCCACCAAGGCGAUGAUCAGUAGCCGGUCUGAGAGGAUGAACGGCCACAUUGGGACUGAGACACGGCCCAGACUCCUACGGGAGGCAGCAGUGGGGAAUCUUCCGCAAUGGACGAAAGUCUGACGGAGCAACGCCGCGUGAGUGAUGACGGCCUUCGGGUUGUAAGGCUCUGUUAAUCGGGACGAAAGGCCUUCUUGCGAAUAGUGAGAAGGAUUGACGGUACCGGAAUAGAAAGCCACGGCUAACUACGUG